GAUGAGGAUCUUAAGUAUAUCGGACAUAGACACAAAAGUAUUGGCCAAAUGGAAGAGAUACAAUUCAAGUAGAAGAGAUCACAUUGACUUCUUGCUUAAUCUCUCUGUUGCUAGAAGGAAAUAAAGGUUUCUCUAACUGGUCUUUUUGAUUAGAAACUUGUGGUUUCUUUACAUUUUCCUUAAGCACGAAAGACCGAGAAAGGUAUGCUUGAGAAAUUAGCAGGACCUCUCAAUGGUAAGAUGUAAAAUGGAGAUCAAAUUGGGCUGUAUAUCAUUGUUGCCAUCUUCUGCUGCUUUGUAGAUGCUAACUCCAUGACCACCUGUCAACAUAGCGGUUCUGACGAAAAAUAUCUUAAGUCAGGUUUGGGAUCUAAUGAAACUGUAUCUUGGCCGGGCAAUCUAGAUGUUACUGGAAUUGCAGCCACGGCAGUGACUUCUUUCUCUG
rnacentral:lncRNA from 1 species